AAGCAUUGCGCAUGCGGGAAACCCACGCUGAGGGAAGAAUCAUGGGAAAGAGUAGAGACGGGGUUCCACCGUGUUAGCCAGGAUGGUCUCGAUUUCCUGACCUCGUCAUCCUCCCGCCUUGGCCUCCCAAAGUGCUGGGAUUACAGGCUUGAGCCACCGCGCCCCGCUCUUUCGUGUUCCAAAGGCUUUUUAAAUAAACUUCCACUCCUGUCCUGGAUUCUGCUUUAUGGCCCUCAGUCGAAUUCUUUCUUCUGAGGAGGCAAGGACUGAAGUUGCUUCUGACCAGUACAGGUACGCCGCAGGAGAAAACGAAUACAGCAGGGAUGACUUCCACCAGCUCCACUUUGCAGCUCUGAGGUGUAUUAAAAAUAAACCUAGAGCCCCACCAAAUGAAUCCGCUGGCACGUGGACCUCAGAUGGGGGAAACUGAGGACUGAAUUCUGACCACCCUCCUUUGUUCUAAAUUUCUUCCUGAAGGACCUGGAAGAAGUCAUGCCACGGGCCAGACCUUAACAUUCCUUUCGGCUUACCCCAGGAUUUCAGACAAAGCUUCACUUUCCUAACCAGUCACAAAUCAGAGAAUUUUUGAUUCCACCUAUGACCUGUGAGCUCCUGCUUCAAGAUAUUCCACCUUUUUUAGGCCAAACCAAUGUAUAACCUCCAAGUGUCGAUUUACACUUUCGACUGUAACUUCUGCUUUCCUGAGAUUUACCCCUGCCUUUAAAAACCCUUGCUUGUAAUCCCUCAGGGAGGCCGUGUAUUUAUUAAUCAUGAGCUGCCCAAUUCUCCUUGCUUGGUGCCCUGCAAAUAAACACCCUCUUUUCUCCCACUGCAAAACCUCAGUGUGGAUGUUUGGCUUUACUUCACCCCCAGGAAAGCAGACCCAGGUUUGACUCAGCAACAACAUCUGUUUCUAUUUUUCUCUGUAUAAAUAUUAAAAACCAUAAGUACAUGCUAUCUCCAAUUCCAAUAUAAACCCAUAGGGCUCAUUCUGGCCUUCCCAUUUUCUUAUGUGUAAUUCAUUUCUCUGAAAAUGAGAAUUCGAGUACUCAGAUAUUU
rnacentral:lncRNA from 1 species